GACGAACGCUGGCGGCGUGCUUAACACAUGCAAGUCGAACGAUGAAGAAGAGAAACGCGAACUUCGGUUCAAAUUUCACUUCGGAUUAGUGGCAGACGGGUGAGUAACGCGUGAGCAACCUACCUCUUACAAAGGGAUAGCCUCGGGAAACCGUGAUUAAUACCAUAUGACACAUUCAUAAGGCAUCUUAAGAAUGUUAAAGCUACGGCGGUAAGAGAUGGGCUCGCGUCCCAUUAGCUAGUUGGUGAGGUAACGGCCCACCGAGGCGACGAUGGGUAACCGGCCUGAGAGGGUGAACGGUCACAUUGGAACUGAGACACGGUCCAAACUCCUACGGGAGGCAGCAGUGGGGAAUAUUGCACAAUGGAGGGAACUCUGAUGCAGCGACGCCGCGUGAGCGAUGAAGGAAUUCGUUUCGUAAAGCUCUGUUCUAUGGGAAGAAAAGGACUGUACCAUAGGAGAAAGCCCCGGCUAAAUACGUG
rnacentral:rRNA from 1 species